UGGUAUGGAAACCUACCAAAGUGAGAAUUUCAAAUUCAGAGAAACCCUGGAAUUAAAAAAGGGCAAUCCUGAGCCAAAUCCAGUUUUAUGAUUCUGAAAACAAACAAGGGUUCAGAAAGCAAUACAAAGAAAGGAUAGGUGCAGAGACUCAAUGGAAGCUGUUCUAACAAAUGGAGUUGGCUGCGUUGCGUUAGUAAAGGAAUCCUUCCAUCGAAACUUUCGAAAGGAUGAAGAAUACCCUAUAUAUACGAUAUACGUACUGAAAUACUAUCUGAAAAUGAUUAAUGACGACCUGAAUUUUUUUUUUUAUAAUUGAUAUGAAAAAAGAAUCGAAUAUUCAUUGAUCAAAUCAUUUACUCCAUCAUAAUCUGAUAGAUCUUUUGAAGAAUUGAUUAAUUGGACGAGAAUAAAGAUAGAGUCCCAUUCUACAUGUCAAUAUCGACAACAAUGAAAUUUAUAGUAAGAGGAAAAUCCGUCGACUUUAGAAAUCGUGAGGGUUCAAGUCCCUCUAUCCCCAA
rnacentral:ncRNA from 1 species